rnacentral:tRNA from 4 species
GCCCUCUUAGCUCAGUUGGCAGAGCAACACAUUCGUAACGUGUAGGUCACCAGUUCGAUUCUGGUAGAGGGCUCAA